UUAAAAAAAGGGAACCUAGGGGAAGAGUUUUGAUGUGACACUGAGCGGAACCAUAGUUCAGGGUCACGGGGUCAUGGCGGGGAGAAAAGGCGGCACCGAGGCAAGUGGGGGACGUGAUACAGGGCACACCGGGGCCCCCUGGCGGCGGGGGGCUGGUUCUGGGUAGACCUGGUGUCUGUGGGGCACCCAGGCGUCCGAGGGGAACGUGAAGGAGGUUUGGCAGGUGAGGGUCCACUGCAACUUGCAGAUCUCCCUCAGUUUCCACCAGAACUCCAGCUCACAGGGACGAUGUUGCUCUGCAGCUGCUCGGGACAACCCAGCGUCUCACGUAGAACAAAAUUCUUUGUGCCGCGCGCAUGUGUUCUGUCUUUGAAAUAAAGACGCGCUGCCCGGUGUUUCAGCGUUACAUGUCGUACCAGCUGGGGUGAAUCUGUCCUCCCCACAGCUCACGGUUGUUUCCAUCAUGUCGCCACAGCCUCAGCAGCAUCCCGGUUUCAUUGGAUGAGUUGUUGGCGGAGCCGACAGUCGACAAUCUCCAGUCACAUCGAGGCACUCUGGUGUUUUUUCCUUAAAAUUCCAAGGCGCUUGGUUUCUAUUAUUUUAAUUUUAACUACUUAAUUACUGUGAAACAUUUAGAAUAAAAACUCAACUAAGAGUAACUAGAAGAGGCUUUGGGAGUAAAUAAUGCCUAUAAUCUACUCUAUUACUUAAAACUCUGCAGGCAGUGAUUACCCCCAACUUACAAAAUAAAAUUAAAAAUAGCAGAGCACUAAUUAGAAGUACCACCUGUAGAGAAAAAAACCCUAGUUCAUAUUAAAAAUAAAAAAAUGUGUGUUGGUUAAUCCACUUAGUAGUAAGGGAACAAAUAAAAUGUUAGAGUGUAAAUAAAUAAAAGUAAUCUUAUUUACAGGGGUUCUAGAGCAGGUUCCAGGUCAGCACAUGGUUCUAGAGUAGGGUUGGGUUCUGAGUUUGGGGGAGUUCCUAGAAUCCAGUUCAGGGGGUGUUCAUGUUUUUGCAUUUCUUCGAGGGUUUGUGGUACUUGUUGAUGACAGCGGGGCAAUCCCUGGGAAGGGCUGGGGAGCCCUGGGGAACUGAGCAGAGCCCUGGAGAGGAACGGGAAGCCCUGAGGAGCCAAGACAAGUUUUGGGGAACCAUGGUGAGCCCUGGAGAGGGCUGGGAAGCCCAAGAGAGAUGAAGCAAGGCUUUGGUAGCCCUGGGGAACCAAGGCGCACACUGGGCAGGACUUGGGAGCCUUGGGGAACUGAGGUGAGCCCUGCAGAGGACUGUGGAUCUCUGGGGAGCCCUAGGGAGAUGAGGCGAGGCCUGGGGACAAUCCGGGAAGCCCUGGGGAGAUGAGAGGAGUCCUUCUGUAGUCCUGGGGAGGCAAAGCAAGCCCUGGUUUACUUUUUAGAAAAGAUUCUGUGGAAUCUAAUUCUGCUUUGUUAUUUAGUCCUACCCAGAAUGUAGUUGUGGUAGAAGUUAGGCAGUAUGUGUGGUCUUGCUAGAAAUUCAGUGUAAUGCAAUAGCAUUUUAAUGUUUUAUAGAAAAUUUCAGCACAGAAUUUUAAUAAUAAUAUAGUUACUGCAUUUAGUGAGCUACAUUUUUACAUAGUUUAGCAUGCCAUCUAUCUUUUUCUCUCUAUGCCCUAGAAAAAUUAAGUUUAAAUUCUUACUCAGUCACAUUGCAGAUGCAAUAGAUGUAGUAAAAGAGCAGGUAUUGUAAUUUCUGGUAGGUGUCCAGGUGAUUGUGGUCAGGGUGGUGGGCAAGGCCUGGGGUAUAUGAGUCACAGCCUCUCCUCAAGGAGCUCAGUCUGCUCCUGGGCUGCUUUGGUGUUGGUGUUCUGUGUCUCCUUUGUUCCUGCUCUUCAGUAGUUUGCAGCUUUUGAGCUGUCUGAGCUAGAAAAAUGGAGGCGUGUAUUUGAGCUAAGAGCUUCAGGACCAAUCAAGGUUCAGUAGUGUAUAUAAUAGGAAGAAUGUUUGUAAGUGGAUUUUGUCUGGCUUUUGUUUUGCUUAGUAGGUGUGUGUGGUGAUUUGGGUUUUUUUGUUGUUGUUUUGGUUUGGUUUUGCUUGUUUGUUGCAGAUGAUGAGGAGGAACCUGGUGACUCCAGGAAGAUCCCCGUGAGUUGAUGUGGUGUUUUUUUCUGCGGAGGAUGGAUUCAGACCCCUGGCCCUCUAAAAGCUAAGUGGAUGGACUGGGGCUGGGGAGGCUCUGGGAUCUGCAGGGAGGGGUUGCAGGAACAACCUUGGGACAGCUAAAGGGUGCAGGUAACUUUUUAGCAUAAUGCUAGCUUGUGCCAGGCAGGGCAGCUCCAGCCUGUGUCUGUGUCAUUGUGUAGUUUGGGAAGUCUGCCUUGUGCCUGUUAGAUGUUCCUUGGGCCUUCAUAGAAUCAUAUAAUAGAAUCAUAGAAUGUCCUGAAAUGGAAGGGACCCAACAGGACCAUCAGGUCCAACUCCUGUUCCUACACAUGACAACCCCACAGUUCACACCAUGUGUCUGAGGGCAGUGUCCAGACUCUUCUUGAACACUGUCAGGCUUGGGGCCAUGACACCUCCCUGGGGAGCCUGUUCCAAUGCUCCACCACCCUCUGGGGGAAGAACCUUUUCCUAAUAUCUAACCUAAACCUCCCCUGGCACACCUUCCUGUCAUUCCCUCGGGUUCUGUUGUUGGUCGCUAAAGAGAAGAGUUCAGCACCUGCCCUUCCUCCUCCCCUUGUGAGGAAGCUGUAGACUGUGAUGAGGUCUCCCCUCGGUCUCCUCUUCUCCAGGAUGAACAAGCCAAGUGACUUUAGCUGCUCCUCAUACAGCUUCACCUGCGAACCCUUCACCAACUUCAUAGCCCUCUUCUGGGCACUCUCCAGUAGCUUUAUAUCCUUUUCCUGCAGCUGGAGGAACUGGUUUUGCUACAAAGUUUGAGGUAAUUCUUUUCAGCCUCUGAUACCCCCCGGGGUAUCAGCAUGACCCCAAGGUCAUCCCAAGACACUCACCCCCUCAGCCCCAGCAUGACCCCAACAGCACCCCAGAACCCCCCAGGGACCCUCCCUGCAUGACCCCAGGGGUCAUUUCGAGACCCCCCUCCAGCUCGAUUCCAGGGUCACCCCAGGACACCACCAGCAUGACCCUGUUGUCAUCCUGAGACCCCCAUGACAUGCCUGGGUCACCACAGGGCCCUCCAAGGACCCUCCCUGCAUGACCCUGAGGUCAGCCUGAGACCCGCCAUGGGACCCGCCCAAGAUGACCCCGGGAUUGACUCUAGAUCCACCAGCAUGAUUCCAGGGUCAUCCUGAGAUCCCCCCAGCCUGAUCCUGUGGGUGACGUGACCCACCCAGCUCAGCCUCUGGCACUGGAUACCAGCCGGUGCCAGCUCGUGUGCAACCAUCCCUGAGGCAGGAGCAGAAGCCAAUCAUGGCGCCAGAUUGAAAGGACUCCCUGUUCUCACACCACUGGGCCAGCAGUCUGCAAUGCCUUUAUAAAUUACUUAGACACAGGACCUGAGGGAAUACUUAGUAAGUUUGCUGAUGACAUAAAAUUGGGAGGAGCUGUCAACACUUUUCAGGGCAGAGAGGUCCUAAAGAGGGAUCUGGACAAAUUGGGGAAAUGAGCAACCACAUGAAGUUCAACCAGGGCAAGUGCGGGAUUUUGCACCUGAGACAUGGCAAUGGGAUGGGCAAUGCUCUCAAAUGGGAUCUUGUCAGAGACUGAACAGCUAUCACACAAAUGGUAAAAUUCAACAACUUCAAAUAGAAAAAAGAUGGCUUCUUUCUAAGAAAGCAUGAGAAGGGAAGUGGAAACUCUACUUGUGCUGUUCUUUGCAGGAAGCUCUGUGUGUAUAGCUGUGUUGGGUGGGUUCCAAAAGCCACUGGUUAGACAGGUUGGCCUGUAGCAGCAGUUGCAGAUGGAGUGCUCUGCAUCCCGUGUCCUCCUUUCUCUCCCACUUCUCACUUGGGCUCCUUCCACACUGUAUGAAGGAGGCAGGUUGGCCACAGCCAUGUUGCACAAGAAGAGCUAACUAUGGCUGUUUCUUGAGUGUAGACAGGGCUUAAUUCAGCCAUUCUGUGAUGAGUUAUUAUAGUUUGGGCAGACUCUCCUAUAAUUUCAGAAAGGGCAUGUCAACAUCGUGUACUUCUUGCAAGACAUGCUUUUAAGUAGGGUGCAGCUGCAUUGUAUUUUCAGUCCAUUCCUUUGCUGCUUUUAUGAGAAAAUAUGUCUAACUCAUUUAUGGCAAUACUGAGCAGCAAUAACUUUAGAUUUAUGGGGCACCCAGUGUUUAGAUGCCUUGGGGUGCCUGACAGACUAUAGCUUAAAAUGUGGCUGCUUAAAAAACAAAUAGAACUGAUGGAGAAACAAAAACUCUCUUAUGUGAUGAAUAGAAUAGCAUCCCAUAAACAACAUCAAACCCAAACUGUCUGCAGCCUGACCCAGAGCAGUGCCAUUGUUCUCUGAAAUAUCAGAGAGGAGCAUGCACUUGAGCUAAGAGAAAGCAUUUGUACAGGCAGGCUUCUCACAUGGUAAAACAGAACCGGCUACAGCUUUAGGCUGAGCAGUAGGAUUUGUUUGCCUUGUUAACCAAGGGUUAAUACUUCAGAAAGGAAAUAAAAUACAGUGGCAGACAUAUUUUGCAUGUCUUUUUGUAGCUAAUACUUUUAUUUGAAAAGCAUAUUUUUCAAAGUAUACGUGUCCUCUUAUCAUUAGAUUAAUUUGUACAUAUACAUACAUCUUGCUACUGGUCCUUCUUCUCUACCAAUUUCAGAUAGCUAUAGAACUCCUAUGAAAAACUCCUUACUGAAUUUAAUCUGCUCUUAAAACCAACUUCUGCCCCAAAGCAUGGGUUUAUAGGCUUGUUUCAAGCUUUUAUAUCAGCCUCUGUUCUUGGUGAAUAGUGGAAGUUGUUCCUGAGCGUGCCAUGUGAGAUCCUUUUUCCCAAUUAUUCUGGUGUCUCCAGACUUCAUCUCAGUUUUGUGAAGCUAAGUGGGUCUAUAAAGUUUAAAUAGAAGGCUUUGUCUGAAAGAGUGAACUUGUUGGAAUCAUUCUGCUGUCACUUGUAAGGAAGAAUUUAUUUCUAUCCCAAUUUUGAAAAUAUAAAAAUAAUGAAGGUAAUAAAAAAGAGAUUAUGACAAAACUGAGUAACUUCACUGAGCAAUGUUAAGCCACACAAAAUAUCUGAAUUAACACAACUUAAUAUUUGAAAUAACUAUUGGCUUUCUUAAUUUUUCUUUCUGUUUGCUUGUUUUUCUGAUGUACAUGAGUAAUUUCACAGUUGACUCUCAUAGACCUUGGCAACAUUAUCUGGAAAUCAUUUGAGCCACAGUGGUAUACUUGAAGAUUGCUGCUUCUUACAUCUUUUAAGUCCAUCCUGACAUCUUGUAUAAUACAGGCUUGGAAAUAAGACUCUUACAGUUAAAUAGAUUAUCCCACUAAGUAUUGUGAAAGACUACCUUGUGUAAAUUUUCUUUACAACAACAACAGGAGUACUAUCUUUGUAGUUUUCUUAUUUGACAUUGUGACUGUAUCCAGGGGAUGGUGGCAGGGGUGCAGUUAGUCAUUCUCUCCAGUCUGGCAUAAAAUUUCCUAAACUGUGCAUUUCACAAUCUUGUAUCUACCUCAUGGCAUCCCAGUUAACGAUGUUAAUGUGAAAUGCAGUGCCCCAAGACAUGCAAUAGCCUGAAACUUGCAUGUUAUAGCAUAAAAAAAUAUUUCUAUCUGCCUGAUGGAUGGUGAAAUUUUAAAUAGUUACAAUCUAAAGCUGUUAUCUACAAAGAUUAAUAGAGGAUAUGAGAGGGCACAAGUUGUUAAAGAAAUUGAUGCUGUUCAGUGGGUGGUCAUAAAUCAGAAAAAUUGUUCUUGAAAUCAGUUCAUCGGAAUGUUGUUACACUUGCGUAUUGGAGAGAUUAAAAAAAAAUCUUAUUUUUUGAUGAUAUUUCCUUUCUGUUUCCUUGCAUUUUAAGAUGCUUCCCAUCUGUUUACUUCAGUUUCUGCAAAACUGUAAGCUAUAUGGGUAGAUGUGUUGCUUCAAAACUAAAACAAACCUCACAAGCAUAUACAGGACAUAUCAACGGGUACAGAAAAUGGAAUUAUAUGAGACAGAAUACUUUUCCCACCAGACUUUGAGAAGCUUAGUACUUCAACUGAGGAACCACCAGAAGAUAAAACCUGUUUACCUGUCGCUGCAGUAAAAACAGGAAUGUUAUCUUAGGCAAUCAGCAAGAAUGUGGUGAUGAUUGUUUGAACCUUUGAAAAAGUGCAUUGUCUAUAUUAUAAUCUCUGCUCCAAAGAUCAUUGAUAACAUAGAGUUCAUGUGAGAUGAUAAAAUUCACAAAUAACUACCUAUAUUUUUCAUGGAAAAUAAUGGAGGAUAUGAUAUAGCUUCUGAAAUACACACUUGUUAACUAUCUGAAAAGUCAAAGGUUGCCAGAUGGGCAUUUUCACAUUAAUUACAAAUCUAGCACAAUCUACCACUUACAGAAUUUCUGAUAUUUUUCCCGAGCUGCCCCAUUAAUUCUUUCUGGAAAUGUAAUGACAGCGUAAUUAGAAGUGCCUUAAUGUUGUAGAGUCUGCUGAGUCCCUUUGGCUAUUGAUUAUCCAGGGGCACCUUGGUAAGCAGAACACUGAACCUUGCACACAAGUAUUUGAGUAGACUGAUGAUCUUCAAUGCUAGUGGCAUCUACAUUCAUGGAAAUUAGGUGUCAUCAGGCUAACUUCCUAUCUUUCUUUACUAAGAUGUCCAGGUGUAUGGAUAAUAUUAGUAACUUUGAUGACUCAUGGAAGACAAGAUUCAGUGCUACUGAACAGAAUGAGCAAAAUUUAAGUUUAUACGGCAUUAAUAAGGUUGAUGUCAGAUGUGCACAUAUCUGAACAAUGGAUCUCAAAGACAUUCGAAGCUAGAAUUCUUGGCAAUGUUGUGAUCUUUAAGGACUUUCACAUCCUUCCCCACUACUCUGCUAAUGCCAGUUAUAGAUCAGACUAUGAAAAAAUACUCUUUAACAACUGUAUAAAAGUGCACCAGAGAUACACUCUCAUCUGCAAUGUGAGAGGAAACUCUUUCAUAUUUUCAAACUUUCUGAUUAUUGUGAUGUCCACUAAUCACUUUCAAAAAAUUAUUUCUGUUAAUUUAGAUUAAGACCUCUGGACCAUGACAUGAGGCUCAAGGAAAAUAGACAAACAAGAACCUUACUUGGUGUCAUCGGACUUCAGCUAACAUUACAGUUUUCCUCCGUGGUACUACAGAUAAACACAAUGGUGCUGUAUCAGGCAUGAGAAACACUAAACAUUACAGAAAGGAGCAAUAGUGAACAGAAGAUAAGAUGGAAUGUUCCUUCCCUCUAGUGUUGAAACUAAAUACAUGUAAUGGGGAUGAGCUGUGUGAUUUGAUAUGACUUCUGAAAAUGAUCAAUCAUAUCCUCACAUUUCAGUCAGGUUUUCAGUGUGACAAGACCCUGGAUCUUGUAUGCAAGUUUUCCAUGUUAAUGUUUUUAGUUUUCACCAAAGUUUUUCACCGCUUUUAUUUCCAUUAAACUUUGAGAUGAUUUUCCUAUAGAAAUAUGGUCCUCUUUUUGACUAACACUUUUUUUUUGGUUAGAGUCUUUUCUUGACUGAAUGUUCUAGCUCACUACAUUACUCAGAUGUUGCAUUGCAUUAAGUCGUAUUCAAAACAACUUGUGAAUUCUGUAAGUUCUGUCUUCCUAGGAUCUGGAUUAUUGAAACACUUUAAGACUGCAUAACACUGACUGUUAACUCUUGCUUCAGUUUUGGCCUGACAUAUAGCUCAUACCAAGGACUGAUGUAUACCAGGUGCAGUGCCAUUAGGUCAAAGCCAGACCAACAUGUUGGCUGGAUGCAAUGGACAGGGAGGAUAGAGGUCACUAUGCAGCCAUGGUCACCAGCAGCUUGCUGUCUACUGCAGAUAACACAUCCUGCAUCCUUGCGGAGCAGUUGCCUGGAAGUUUCUUCAUAAUCCACUAACUAAUGGAAAUGGUAUAGACCAAACUUCCAAGCUGGAAGGUAGAAAUACAUCAGCUUACCCAAAAAAGCUUUUGAAGCAGAUCCAACAGCAGUGGGACUGCUGAGGCAUUCAUGCUUCCCAGAACGAUGCAGGGGAGGAGGAGGAAGAAUGAGAUCUCUUGCCAUCAGCUAGGCAACCAUUCUCUUUAUAGUUGUGCAAGUUAGGAAUUAGGGAACUUGUAAGAGAAUCCACGAAUUAAAGAAAUAAAGAAUGACUGAAUUCAUGUGUUAGACUAGUCUGUAUGCAGGGAAUUGAGACACUGUCUUGUUUGGUUUUCUUUUUGCUAAUGAGUUCAUAAAAUAACGAUUAAUUUAUGGAGUACAUUGUCCUGUAAAUUUGAGAUAUUCAAACAGACCAUGACAAUAACGUUCUGUAAAAUAGGACCUCACAUUCCUCUGCUGCAUAGGUGAUAUUGUGUUUAGAACAAAUAAUAAUACUAUGAAUGUUCAUAUUAAAUUUAUUAUUAGUUAUCAUUAGUAGCAAGAGCCAUGGGGUCAGUAAAAUUGUUAAUGAUUGCUGUAUUCAUGGACCAGGUGGAAAAGCAAGAUAAGGAGCUCUUGGAACAGCUGCAUCCAGGCUGGUAUUGCACAAAUUUGAGCAGAGGUUGGCAUAUCAUGUUAUAAAUGUCUGAGAUGGUUCCCAAGCAACCUGUUAAGUGUGCUUAUAAUGCACCGUGCUCUGUACUGCCUGUAAGGUAAAUAAAUCUGUCCUUGGCCUAGUGUGCAAUUUAUUUUUUACUUUUCCUGUUCAUUUACUCAGCCUUAAACUCUGCAAACAAAGAUGACAAUUCCUUGCAGCCUUAGACCUUCCCCCAGCAGUCCCUGCCCUUGCUUCAGAAACUGGUUAAUAUUCAAUGGGCUCAUCUCCCCUGCAGGUUUGGGAAGGUUACUUUUGAAGAUUAACUCUCAAAUGAGACCACCUAAAAUUCAUCAGCAUUUCUGUUCCAUAAUGCUGUGAGCUGUCCUGAAACAGAAGUCUGAGGAAAUCACAUGUCCUCCACCAUUUGGAAUCUGUUUUUGCCAAGACCAGCAGCUCAGAGUGAAUUCGAUGUUUUUAGGCUGGUCCUGAGAUACUUAUUAUUUGUGGAUAUCUUAGUCAAGAAUUUCUAAAGUGGCCAAGUUUAAAAAUAAUGCUGGAGCCACCGCCUCCUCAGUAUACAGGUUGCUACUGGGGUUUCAGAAAAGAGUAUAACCUCUCAUCAUGUCAGUAUUUGAUCAGGCAAUACAUGUGGCUUGAUUGGAAACUAAUGGCUGGUAGAAUUCUCAGUGGUUAUGUUCUGUAUGUUAAAAUUAUAGCAAACUAUUGUAGUGUGUACUGGUGACACACUUCUCUUGGUCACUAUGCAUUCUUUAUGUAGAACACAGUAGCUGAGUAUCUCAGAGAACCUUUGAUUUAAAUCUUGUACAUAGCUACAUUAACAGUUAUAUUUCUCUCUUUCUAGUCUUUCUUUAUGAUCCUAGAAGGGGUACCUAUUUCUGGGAAGGGUUGUUUUAUUAGUGUUAACCAACACCUAUAUAACUGUAGCCUUUUGCAUCUUUAAUUAUGGGCCAAGAUUCUAUUGUAAUGAAUACUAUGCAAAUACAAAACAAAACAAAUCAAAACAAAAAAAAAAGAAAAAGACCUCCCAAGUUAUGAAAAGCUCCAAGCUGAGUACAAGACUGUCAGUAAUGACAUAGGAUAAUUGAAAGAAAAUGAGACGUUUUGGUCAGCUUAAUACAUGUUGUUGGCAACAGAGUAAGAUAUCAGUACUUACAAACAGAGUUGCUUGCAGGGUUGGAUAUCAAGGAGUGAGGCUGCAGAGAGUGUAGAAAGAAAGAAACAGAUACAAGAUGUUGCUUGUCUAGUGAUGAAACCUUAUAGAUUUUUCAAGGAAAAAAACCCUGAAAAAUAUCUGAAGUCCAGUAAAAUGCUUAAAACUGUUGAGACAUUUUUCUCUCUACAGUCCAGGAUUAUUCUCCAUUUUCAGCAGUGAACUUAAUAGAGAUUAAUAGCGUAAACAAAGAACUCCCAUGAUACCAGAGCUUACUCUCCAUCAGAAAUGAAGCAGGGAGAAUAACCCUUGAAGUGACGCAUUAUUUGAGCACUGACCUAUGCAAUGGCAACCAGCAGUUUGACAAAUAAAAAAAUAGCAUACAUUUCUGGGUCACACUUUGCAGGGAGAAUAUUCUGAAUUACUAUUCUGUACAAUAAGAUUAUGGGACCAAUAAUGAUUGUUUCUGCAUACUUCCCUUAGUUGCUUUUGCCCAAUACUCUAACAAAUCUGAAAUUACCAUUCUCGCAGUUUUAGCUAGGAAUCAGACCAUCUAGAUAGUGUAUUCUUGGGUCAGUCCUAAUAAUUGUAUUUCUACAUGUAUGUACAAUUGCACUUAAGCAGUCCUGUCCCAUCCACCCUAAUUACAGCCGAGAGUAGAGACGGUUAAUUAAUUAUGGAAGGUUAAUUCUGCAAGGUAUUCUGGGCAAUUGAAAAGCUUAUUGGUCUUCAGCUUCCCUGGCUUAGAUUUUGCAAAAAUAUUCUAAUCAAAUCAAUCCCACUUGCUUCUCAAACCAAAAUGAUACCUGGAUCAAAAUCACUUCUGCUUUGGAAUCUUUUGGAACAUAUUUUGUAGAUUGGAAACAAAAUGUGGUGUGCUUGACCAAACAGUAUAAAAAACAUACAGUGUGGGAAGAAUUCAGACAGUAGGGAGAUAAUUACACUUAUUGUGUUAGCAAUUGUCCUAAGAUAAAGUACAUUCAAGGCCAAAGAAGUGAACAAACAGAUUCAGAAAGUACUGACUUGAGGUCAUUCAUCAUUUUUUCAUACCUAAUUCUUUGGAGCAGCACACAGCCUUGUACUGGGCAAAACCAGAAAAGGUAGUAAAACAGAAAAAUAUGCACAGAGGAGAGGAAAGAAAGCAUAUUUAGUGUGAGUUGGUGAAACAUAACAGGCAGAGAAAACAAUAAUGGAGGAAAGAGAGUAGGGAAAGGAAAAGACAAGGAUAACUUUUUCUGAUAAUAAGAAGAUGUUGAACAGCUGUUCAUCUCUUGUUUUAUUUCAACUAAUAGAAGGUUGAAAAAAAUUUCAGGCCAGCAAUUCCAGAACUAUGGUACAAAUAUCACUAAUGGUAUAAGACCCUCCCAAGACAAUUUAUGACUCCCCAUCAGAGCCUGAUUUAGACACUUUGGCUACUGACACUGGCCAAAAAUAUCGUAAAGCUGUACUUCAAUGAUUUUUCAUGUUGAAAAAAUGUAAUUUCAAGUAAUUUCUGUAUGUGAACUCACACUAUAAAAAUAUUAAAGGUAAAUUAACUCACAGGUAUUUUGAAAUUUACAACAGUUUCUGCACAGUUACCUUUUAAUAAGCAUAAAUAAAUGAGCAUUUUACUUGCAGAUUUCCUUCUA